UAAAUAUAGAUCCUCCGAUCCAUUUCUUCCCCUCGGGAAGAAUGGGCGUUAGGGUGCGGGGAGCAAUCCCUUCACCUGCCGCAUUUGCAAAGGAGGCAACGGAAAAACUGC
rnacentral:ncRNA from 2 species